GAGUUUGAUCUUGGCUCAGGACGAACGCUGGCGGCGUGCUUAACACAUGCAAGUCGAGCGGAAAGGCUUCCUUCGGGAAGUACUCGAGCGGCGAACGGGUGAGUAACACGUGGAUAAUCAACCUCUUGCUCUGGAAUACCCCGGGGAAACUCGGAUCAAUGUCAGAUAAAGUGCGGUGCUGUUGGGCGCCGUACCAAAGAUAGCUUCGGCCUUCGGCGAGAGACGAGUCCGCGGCCCAUUAGCUAGUUGGCGGGGUAAUGGCCCACCAAGGCUACGAUGGGUAGCUGGUCUGAGAGGAUGAUCAGCCACACUGGGACUGAGACACGGCCCAGACUCCUACGGGAGGCAGCAGUGGGGAAUCUUGCGCAAUGGGCGAAAGCCUGACGCAGCAACGCCGCGUGCGGGAGGAA
rnacentral:rRNA from 1 species